CCUACGGGAGGCAGCAGUGAGGAAUAUUGGUCAAUGGACGAGAGUCUGAACCAGCGAAGUAGCGUGAAGGAUGACUGCCCUAUGGGUUGUAAACUUCUUUUAUAGGGGAAUAAACCGCGGCACGUGUGCCUUUUUGCAUGUACUUUAUGAAUAAGGCUCGGCUAACUCCGUGCCAGCAGCCGCGGUAAUCCGGAGGAUCCGGGCGUUAUCAGGAUUUAUUGGGUUUAAAGGGAGCGUAGAUGGGUUGUUAAGUCAGUAGUGAAAGUUUGCGGCUCAACCGUAAAAUUGCAAUUGAUACUGGCAGUCUGGAGUACAGUUGAGGUAGGCGGAAUUCGUGGUGUAGCGGUGAAAUGCUUAGAUAUCACGAAGAACCCCGAUUGCGAAGGCAGCUUACUAAACUGUGACUGACAUUGAUGCUCGAAAGUGUGGGUAUCAAACAGGAUUAGAUACCCCUGUAGUC
rnacentral:rRNA from 1 species